rnacentral:rRNA from 1 species
UACGUAGGGGGCGAGCGUUGUCCGGAUUUACUGGGCGUAAAGGGCGCGUAGGCGGUCACUACAAGUCAGUUGUGAAAUCUCUGGGCUUAACUCAGAACGGUCAACUGAUACUGUCGGACUAGAGUGCAGAAGGGGCAACUGGAAUUCUCGGUGUAGCGGUGAAAUGCGUAGAUAUCGAGAGGAACACCUGCGGCGAAGGCGGGUUGCUGGGCUGACACUGACGCUGAGGCGCGAAAGCUAGGGGAGCGAACGGG